UACGGAGGGUGCAAGCGUUAAUCGGAAUUACUGGGCGUAAAGCGCACGUAGGUGGUUUGAUAAGUCGGAUGUGAAAUCCCCGGGCUCAACCUGGGAAUUGCAUUCGAUACUGUCUCACUAGAGUCUAGCAGAGGAAUGCGGAAUUCCGGGUGUAGCGGUGAAAUGCGUAGAGAUCCGGAGGAACAUCAGUGGCGAAGGCGGCAUUCUGGGCUAAGACUGACACUGAGGUGCGAAAGCGUGGGGAGCAAACAGG
rnacentral:rRNA from 1 species